rnacentral:rRNA from 1 species
CAGUCGCCGCGGGAAUACGUAGGUGGCAAACGUUGUCCGGAAUUAUUGGGCGUAAAGGGCUCGCAGGCGGUUUCUUAAGUCUGAUGUGAAAGCCCCCGGCUCAACCGGGGAGGGUCAUUGGAAACUGGGAAACUUGAGUGCAGAAGAGGAGAGUGGAAUUCCACGUGUAGCGGUGAAAUGCGUAGAGAUGUGGAGGAACACCAGUGGCGAAGGCGACUCUCUGGUCUGUAACUGACGCUGAGGAGCGAAAGCGUGGGGAGCGAACAGGAUUAGAUACCCCUGUAGUCCCUGUCUCUUAUAC